GGUGGCACAGUGGUUAUGUGUUCAGCUGCUAACUGAAAGAUUGGUGGUUCAAACUCACCAACCA
rfam:Loxodonta africana unplaced genomic scaffold scaffold_18, whole genome shotgun sequence.